AACGAACGCUGGCGGCAGGCUUAACACAUGCAAGUCGAACGCCCCGCAAGGGGAGUGGCGGACGGGUGAGUAACGCGUGGGAAUCUACCCCAUCUCUACGGGAAUAACUCAGGGGAAACUUGUGCUAAAUACCGUAUACGCCCUUUGGGGGAAAGAUUUAUCGGAGAUGGAUGAGCCCGCGUUGGAUUAGCUAGUUGGUGGGGUAAAGGCCUACCAAGGCGACGAUCCAUAGCUGGUCUGAGAGGAUGAUCAGCCACACUGGGACUGAGACACGGCCCAGACUCCUACGGGAGGCAGCAGUGGGGAAUAUUGGACAAUGGGCGCAAGCCUGAUCCAGCCAUGCCGCGUGAGUGAUGAAGGCCCUAGGGUUGUAAAGCUCUUUCACCGGUGAAGAUAAUGACGGUAACCGGAGAAGAAGCCCCGGCUAACUUCGUG
rnacentral:rRNA from 1 species